UCACCGCGUCGCCCGGCCGUCGCUCGGGCGUCCUCCUCGCCGCCGGGGCUUCUCCUCUGAGGGGUGGGCGGAGAGCUUAGCGAGAGCCCGGGCGUUUGCAACUUUUCUUCACUUUCUCUUCCACCGCCCCCCGAAACGGGGGGAAAAAAAUGUCGACAGGGAUGAAGAAGUUGAGGGCACUGAACACACAUGGUCCACAGACAUACGUGAAGGCAAAACAUCCAUGAACAGAAAAUAAAAAGGGUUUUAAAACCUUUACAAAAACCCCUCAAGGUUGGAAUGAGCCAAAAGUCUGCACACAAAAAUCGAGACAAGUGGUCCGAGCCAAAUAGACGAAAGCAAAAGAGACGCUGUGCUAAAUGACAGCAGGGAGAGUGGUGACCACAGAGCUUCCUGUGUUUCUGGUAAUCUAGGGUAUUUCCUAGAGGAGCCGAACCCAGCUUCUCGGAUGGGCCCUACAGAAGAAUCUGGAACUUACUCCUAUAAGAGAAUAGGACAUCAGCACAAAGACAGACCUGGAGUCAUCGGAAACGACCUUACCACUGAACUGUACACUUA